rnacentral:rRNA from 1 species
AUUGAACGCUGGCGGCAGGCCUAACACAUGCAAGUCGAGCGGGGUUUUCGGACCUAGCGGCGGACGGGUGAGUAAUGCGUAGGAAGCUACCCGAUAGAGGGGGAUACCAGUUGGAAACGACUGUUAAUACCGCAUAAUGUCUACGGACCAAAGUGUGGGACCUUCGGGCCACAUGCUAUCGGAUGCGCCUACGUGGGAUUAGCUAGUUGGUGGGGUAAUGGCUCACCAAGGCGACGAUCCCUAGCUGGUUUGAGAGGAUGAUCAGCCACACUGGAACGGCGACGCGUUCCAGACUCCUACGGGAGGCAGCAGUGGGGAGUAUUGGACAAUGGGCGCAAGCCUGAUCCCGCCAUGCCGCGUGUGUGAAGAAGGCCUUCGGGUUGUAAAGCACUUUCAGUAGGGAGGAAGGGUGUUGUGUUAAUAGCACAGCAUUUUGACGUUACCUACAGAAGAAGCACCGGCUAACUCUGUGCCAGCAGCCGCCGUAACAC